rnacentral:rRNA from 1 species
CAGUAGCGUAUAUUAAAGUUGUUGCAGUUAAAAUGCUCGUAGUUGAAGUUCGGAUGCAGCAGAGCUUGGAAACGCUGUUAUGGUGCUUCCGUUGCUUUUGCUUGUCCACAGUGCGUUGCAAGUACGUAUGUGCUUGUGCGUGCAUUUUACUUUGAGAAACAUAGGGUGUUCCACGCAUGUUACGGCAUGAAUAUUCCAGCAUGGGAUAAUCUGGUACGACUUCCAAUCUGCCAUUUUGGUUCGUAGGUUGGAAGUAAUGAUUAAUAGGGACUGUCGGGGGCAUUGGUAUUUGACUGUCAGAGGUGAAAUUCUUAGAUUCGUUGAGGACCAACCACUGCGAAAGCAUCUGCCAAGGACGUUUCUUUUGA